CAUUCAAUUGGCAAACAGAGAUAUUUUUGUCAUUCUGAUUUCUCAAAGUGAUGAAGGUCAAUAGGCAUAUUAUUAUCGUUUCAGUUUCUCAAAGGCUGCAUUUUGUAUAUAAGUGUCCUGCUCUCUGUAAAUUCAUCAAACACAUAGUCUUCUUCAAUUUAGCUACUUUCUCUGUUUUAAAAAGAAUUUCCUAUUUUUCUUUUAGUUUAUUUCAAAAAGAAUAAUUUUUUUUCAUUUUUGGCAACACUUUAAUUUUAACUUUUCAUGUGGCAUGUAUAAGACCACACGAUUAAAUAAUAAUUUGAUACAUUUGACAUAACUUUAAUUUAGAACCACGAAAUUAAAAAGUUUCUUUCUUUUCUUAAACUCCGUUCCAAGUCAAAAGCCAAUCUUUUUGAAAUGGACGGAGUAUAAUUUUGAAGGUUUUGUGGUGAUCUCCGAUUUCUGCUCUUUGUUUCUGCUUUUGCUUCAGUUUUUAACUUUCUUGUUGCUUCCUUGUAUAUACAAAAGCUAAAAGUGUUGUGUGUUGUAUAUAGAAGAAAAGGUUGUCGUUCUGUCGAAGCUUCUCUGUUUAUACUUUCUGUUAUCAGUAGGUUCUCAGCAAAGUUCGUCUAAUCUUGUCAUUUGCUAAAACAAUGGAUGGAACUCCUGGAAAAUUAAUUAUCUUGUCAUAUGCGGAAAAGAAAACAUCAUCAGUGCACCAUCAUCACCUGCUCCAAUGGACACAGCAAGAAGCAGCAAAAGGAACAUAGAAAAUCCUGUCACAAAAAAUAAAAAGACAAGAAAGAGGGACUUCCAAUCACAAGCAUUUUCUAGAGGUGAAGACUCCCCCUCCAAAACACUAUAACAAGUGAAAAGCCAUGUCGGCCACACCUUUGCAGUGUGAUUGAAGCCAUUUUUAUCAGUGAAAAGCCAUGUUGGCUACAGUUUGCAGUGUGACUGAAGCCAUUUUUUGUCACUGCAGCAAGCAUUAUCAUAACGGAUCGCUUUCCUUUUGCCUAUGUAAAUAGAAUGUACAUACCUAUGUUAUAAAACUUGGCUCCACCACUAAUAUAUAAUUUUAGUUGUGUCACACUUGUUGUGCAAUCAAUAUGAGUUCUUCCCAGAGAUCAAAUUGAACGAAGAAGUACUUCCGGUCAUUUUUGAA